GAUGAACGCUGGCGGCGUGCCUAAUACAUGCAAGUCGAGCGAACAGAUAAGGAGCUUGCUCCUUUGACGUUAGCGGCGGACGGGUGAGUAACACGUGGGUAACCUACCUAUAAGACUGGAAUAACUCCGGGAAACCGGGGCUAAUGCCGGAUAACAUUUAGAACCGCAUGGUUCUAAAGUGAAAGAUGGUUUUGCUAUCACUUAUAGAUGGACCCGCGCCGUAUUAGCUAGUUGGUAAGGUAACGGCUUACCAAGGCAACGGUACGUAGCCGACCUGAGAGGGUGAUCGGCCCCAGUGGGGCUGGGCCACGGUCCAGACUCCUACGGACGGCAGCAGUAGGGAAUCUUCGGCGAUGGGCGAAAGCCUGACGGAGCAACGCCGCGUGAGUGAAGAAGGUCUUCGGAGCGUAAGACUCUGUUAUUGGGGAAGAACAAUUGUGUAAGUGACUGUGCACGUCUUGACGGUACCUAAUCAGAAAGCAACGGCUAACUACGUG
rnacentral:rRNA from 1 species